rnacentral:rRNA from 1 species
CUCUUCGGGGAUGAUUAAACCGGCGCACGGGUGAGUAACACGUGAGUGACCUGCCUUUUAGACUGGAACAACUUACCGAAAGGUGAGCUAAUGCCGGAUGAGUUAUAUAAGUGCAUGUUUAUAUAGGAAAAGUUGGGGAGACCUGACGCUGAAAGAUGGACUCGCGUCCCAUUAGCUAGUUGGUAGGGUAAUGGCCUACCAAGGCGACGAUGGGUAGCCGGCCUGAGAGGGUGGCCGGCCACACUGGGACUGAGACACGGCCCAGACUCCUACGGGAGGCAGCAGUGGGGAAUUUUGCGCAAUGCUCAUAAGAGUGACGCAGCGACGCCGCGUGAAUGACGAAGGCCUUCGGGUCGUAAAGUUCUUUCGACAGGGAAGAAAAUGCCUAUAAGUAACUGUGUAUGUAUUGACGGUACCUGUAUAAGCAGCCCCGGCUAACUCCGUGCCAGCAGCCGCGGUAAUACGGAGGGGGCGAGCGUUGUUCGGAGUGACUGGGCGUAAAGAGCACGUAGGCGGUGUUGUAAGUCAUUAGUCAAAGACUAGAGCUCAACUUUAGUAAGGCUAGUGAUACUAUAAUACUAGAGUAUCAGAGAGGAUUGCAGAAUCCCUGGUGUAGCGGUGAAAUGCGUAGAUAUCAGGAGGAAUACCGUUAGCGAAGGCGGCAAUCUGGCUGGAAACUGACGCUGAGGUGCGAAAGCGUGNGUAGCAAACAGGAUUAGAUACCCUGGUAGUNCACGCUGUAAACGAUGGAUGCUAGGUGUUGGGCUUUUAAGUUCAG